UGAGGAAUAUUGGUCAAUGGGCGGAAGCCUGAACCAGCCAUGCCGCGUGAAGGACUAAGGCCCUAUGGGUCGUAAACUUCUUUAGACGCAGAGCAAUAAGGGUCUCGUGAGAUCCGAUGAGAGUAUGCGUAGAAUAAGCAUCGGCUAACUCCGUGCCAGCAGCCGCGGUAAUACGGGGGAUGCGAGCGUUAUCCGGAUUUAUUGGGUUUAAAGGGAGCGCAGGCGGUCUUAUAAGCGUGACGUGAAAUGCAGCGGCUCAACCGUAUGAUGUGCGUCGCGAACUGUGAGACUUGAGUGUAUUCGAUGUCAGCGGAAUUUGUGGUGUAGCGGUGAAAUGCUUAGAUAUCACGAAGAACUCCGAUUGCGAAGGCAGCUGACAAGGCUACAACUGACGCUAAAGCUCG
rnacentral:rRNA from 1 species